rnacentral:lncRNA from 1 species
CCCCGCCCCACCCCCCCCCCCCGCGCCUCUCCGGUUUCCUGAGCUGCGGGCUGCAAGGGAGGAGAAGCGGCGUCUUGCUACCCCCUCGGCUGGGCCCCGGGGUAAUUCGAUGCGGGCCUGGCGAGGCUCCCCACGCUAGACCCGGGCUCGCGUCUCGGCAGCCUCCACCCACCGGCCCACCCUACAUUUAGCGCAUCAUGUGAUCCGGGAUCAAUGUGACUCUGGAAACAAAUGGAUGAAUGAAUAUCCAUAUGAAGAGGAAAACAAUAAAGAACAUCGACACCUUUGAGAACAGAAUGUUAAUGCUUGAUGGGAUGCCGGCAGUCAGAGUCAAAACAGAGCUUUUGGAAUCUGAACAAGGGAGUGUUCUGAGGUUUGCCGAAAUUCCUGACUUUUCACUUGGUGACGCUUUUCUUGCUUGCCUCAGAAAUCAUCGGCGAUCGGGAUUGAUUCUCACUCCUUUGCAACCUCGCAUCUCACUCACUUAGAAAAGAUCACAUCCUGAAAUCAGGACGGCGUAGUGACCCUAGAAGAACCACAUGGCUGGUAUUUAAAUCGGUGAAUACUUCCGAACGCUAAUACAAAUCCAAAGCAAAGAGGAGGUGUUAGAAAAUGAGAUGGAACUAUAACUUCGGUGUGAAAAUAGCUUGGUUCGUUCUUAUUAAGUUGGGGAAUUGCAGAGUACAGGUGUGGGAAAGUUGCUGUUGAUUGGAUGGAUUUCUCUUUUGACAUUUGUAUUUCCCCUUUUUAUAGUGGAGGAAAUUUAGUUUGAAAAGCACGUAAAAGCCAAAGAAAGCCUACUGAACAAUAAUAUAGCCAAAUUGACAAAUUAAUUUAUGGCUACUAAAAGCAUAAAUACUUAAGAGCACAGCUGGGUUUUUUUAAAAGGAUGUAAGUGAUUUUAUAAUUGUUAUCAUUUAUAGCUUCAUGAGUUAAAAUCAUAAUCAGUGCAGCCUGAUUGCUGGCAGCAUUGGUUGAUCGGCCACCUUUUGUAUUUAAGGGAGAAAGCACUGCCUACCUGUCUUUUUAAACCAGCCUCACGGCGGCAGUAUACAUGACUGAAUAAAAGGGCAUCAAUUAAAUAAAUAUUUAGUCUUAAUCUUAUUAGUGUAUCCCUUAAUAAAAAAAUUCAAAAUAACACAUUAGCGGGGCUUCCCAUUGUGGCUCAGUGGUAAGGACCCUGACAAGUAACCAUGAGGAUGUGGGUUCAAUCCCUGGCCUCGCUCAGUGGGUUAGGUACCUAGCAUUACUGUGGGCUGUGGUGUAGGUUGCAGACACAGCUGGGAUCUGGCAUUGCUGUGUCUGUGGUGUAAGCCUGCAGCUGCAAUUCUGACUCGACCCCUAGCUGGGGGAACUUCCAUAUGCCGCAUGUGUGGCCCUACACAGCAAAAGCAAAAACGCAUGAGCAAUGUUUUGUCAUUGAGCAAUCCAAAGAAAUUUCAAGUGUGCUUAAAAUCUCGCUGGUGGAAAAAUCAAAUGCCUGAGUUCUUCUGGGACCCCAUUCAAAAGGUUAGGCCACUGAUGUACCAAAAGGAUUUAAGGAUGCGGACAGCCAAGGGCAAGGAUCUCGAUGGUGGGUAGCAUGUAGAGGGCUUCUGCAGUAACUUCCCCAUUCCUGACUACUAUUUGGCAGAGGGCAAGGCAUCUCAUAAUGUAUUUCUCUUCAGUGUAAGCCAGUGUCUGAAGCAGAUCCCCGUCAUGUAGAAGCUGCCAUUUCCUCACGUUCAGUGUAGGCUGUGGUAGCUCUGCAACGGACUUGGUGGAGUUUGUGACGUAAUGACUGACUCACAGAGAUUCAGCUGCAGACUUGGGCAGUAGGACAUCAUGAAAGAAAUGACCACAUGGCGGUUAUUAAUAUUAUUUGUUCAUUGUUGACAAAUCUUCAGAAAAGGUCAUAUAUUCACCUGGAUAUUCUAGCCUGAGCUUUUUUGUCUUUUCUAGGGCUGCACCCUUGGCAUAUGGAGGUUCCUAGGUUAGGGGUCUAAUCAGAGCUGUAGCCACCGGCCUACUCCAGAGUCACAGCAGUGGGAGAUGCGAGCCAUGUCUGCGACCUACACCACAGCUCACAGCAAAGCCUGAUCCUUAACCCGCUGAGUGAGGCCAGGGAUCGAACCCACAACCUCAUGGUUCCUAGUCGGAUUCGUUAACCGCUGAGCCAUGAUGGGAACUCCAAGUUCCGUUUUCUUAAUCAAAAUUAUAUUUCACAAUGUUGCUUUUAUUUCACGGUAUGUUCUUCAGCUUGAAUAGCAGUAAAUCUGUUCAAGUCAUCGAUGUUGGAGGAAGGCAGAAAAGUACAGAACAUCAGCCAGAAUAUACUACCUAGGCUGUUAGUUAAAGCCAGCCUAGGGUGUGGUUGUCACCAGUCUGGACAACCUCUAAGGACAUCCAAAUACUUCUCUCCCCUUUACUGUCAUUUUUCAGUUUUAUGGUAAAGUUUGCAUGAAAGAUUUAGGUGCAUAAAAAACAAAAGCCAAUAUUCCCUGGGGUUUUACAAUGUGAGUAAGAAACUCUUGUCACAUUAUUUAUAGAAGGUAUUUUUCUGUUCUCAAAUAGGGACAGGAAAAAUUGUAGGUUCUAGGUUUUACUUCAUGCACGUUCGUAAGAAUCAAUUUUCCUCCUUGUGAAUGGAGCUGAUGUUGGUAGUUUAAUCCUAAUUUAGAUUGUGUAUGUUGGAGGGGAGUAGAAACUUGAUUUUUUUUCUUAUUCUUUGUAUGUACUUUUUAAAAAUACAUGACAGAUAUAAUUGCAUUCUUUUUUACAGGAAAGCUUUAAGAGAAGCAGAGCACAGUAUUUAAUGAAAUGUAUUAUCACUUGAUUAUUUAUAGAACAUAAUUAUUUGUAUUGAGUCAUUUGUAAUACUUUCAACCAGCUCUUCUUUAAAGAGAUAAAAGCUAGAAUGUUAGUGAAAUUCAUUUUUGGUCCUUUUACUAGACUUUUUCAUUGAGGAUAAUGGGAUGGGUGAGAAUACUGUGUAGUGUUCAGAAUCUCAGAACUACUUUCAGAUAGGGAGCGCUGGAAGGUCUGAAGAUGUCGUCAUUUCCAUCUUACAGAACUCUCUCCUCAUUGAGUAUUAAAGGCUACUUGAACUUUGAUUCUUCAUAAGAAAAUGUAUACAUAUUGGUGACAUCAAAAGACUCACAUGUAUGAGGCGUUCCCGUCAUGGCUCAGUGGUUAACGAUCUUGACUAGGACCCAUGAGGACGAGAGUUGGAUCCCUGGCCUUGCUCAGUGGGUUAAGGAUCCGGUGUUGCUGUGAGCUGUGGUGUAGGUCGAAGAUGCGGCUCAGAUCCUGCGUUGCUGUGGCUGUGGUGUAGACCAUCAGCUGUAGCUCCAGUUUGACCCCUAGCCGGGGGAACUUCCUCAUGCCAUGGCUGUGGCCCUAAAAAGACAAAAGACAAAAAAUAAAAAAAAAUACCCCCCCCCCGCCAACUCCCCCCCCAAAAAAACCAGACAUUCACAUGUGUGAUUAUGGGCUUUUAAAAAAGAUGACCUAUUAGUUGCAGUGAACAAAAAGUUGUAGAUGUGUAACUUUGCAUCAUGACAGUGAAUGGGAAAGCCUGAAACGGAUGCAUUGAUGGGAUUCUGUAAUCACUGUGGAAACCUAGUUUUCAGACUCUUCCGUCUAUGUUUAGGGGAAGGAGAGUAAGUCUGUCUUUCAGGCUGCAGGCAGCAUUAUAAAGAUCUGCUACUUGACGUGGCCUUCCUAUCUCAGGGCACCGCAAAAGCACCUGUUCCUUCUCUCUUUCUUGCUAUAAAUAGUCCCUUAGUUCUUCUCUGUCAGCUGGUCUCUCCAUGUGGUCCCUCCCACCCCGCCAAGGAAUUCAGGACCUGAUGAGCACAUUUCAGAGCUUAAAGAAAGAACUGUGGAGCAGACUUUCUCUCGAACAUUCUGGCUGCCUUGCCUCAUUCUCGUCCUCGUUUUGUGUGUGUAUUUGGUCCCGUCUCUUCAAUCAGAUCCUAAGCUCUUAGAGGGCAAGAACUAUUUCUUAUAUUUCCCUUGUAGCUCCUGGCACCUGGUUGGUGCUCCGUAAAUACAUGCUUUAUUCAGCUUGUGCAGGCAUUAUAACUGGCCUGGUGCAAAAUAGGAAGCCAGGCAGUAGCCAGUUGUAAACCUGCUCUGUCUCCCUUAUAGGGUUAUUGCAAACAUAACAAUAAACAUUGAAAAUAACAGAGUCCCAUGGGUGGCAGCCUUCAUCUUGUUGCUGUGUGAACUGGGUAGAUAAGAGUGGUUCAUUCAGACCUCCUCUCUGCACCUUCCUUCUGUUUGGCACCCUUUGUUUGGUGGUCGUUAAGGCGAUUGUUAUUGCCGUCUCCUGCGAAGUGAUUUCACAUUUCUUCAGGCUUGUGGGUAAUACAGCACAUGUGGCCACAUGAUCCAUGGCCAGGGCACAUGUUCUCAUGAUGGACUUUGGGGGCGACUCUGUCUGUGACCUUUGGUGCUCUGUGUCCUGCUGUGACAAGAGCGUCCCAGUGCUGGCAGCCUUUGGAUGUGCUCACACAUUAGGAAGCAUAGGACUGAGACAGGAAGAGGAAUAUUCAGAAAUGAGGUUGUGUGCAGGGAGUGGGUACCAGUUCAAAGACAGAAAACGUAUGAUGUUAUCCCUGGCCCUGUAGCUCACCAGCCUGAGUGGCAUGGGGAAGUGACUUCUGUCUCCAGGCUUCUGUAUCUUCGUCUGUGCAGUAGGGGUGUUGGAGCCGAGGCCUUCCACAUUCAAUCUGAUGUUAGGCCAGGAGUGAGAAAAAGCAUUUCCAGUCAUGAGUCCAACAGCCAGCCUGCAGCAAAGUGACCUGCAUGCGGAAGCAGAAAUGCACAGACUUUCAGGUCAGGCAGACCUGAGUUCACAUGCUUCAGCCAGGGUCCCAGAGGGUCCUAGAGGUAGGACAAAAGAGCCUAAUGGUUUUGUCCCUGAAGGCAGUUUGCAGGAGCUUUGGCCACCUGUUGUGAGGGACUUUCAUAACAAGGUGUGGAAGGCGUUUCUGUAUUACAGAGAACUGUCUCCUACCAUGUAGGCCACAAAGAAGUCACUUCCUUGAGAACAGAGCUGAUGUGUUAGGUUCCUCGUUAUUCCUCAUCGUCCCCAGCACAGGGAGCUGAUUGUUAGGCAGGGCUCAGCAAAUAGCGAUCAGUUCAGAUGCUCUUUAUUCUAAGUGGGAGCCAGUGUCACACUAGAAUUGAGAGGAUUUUGAGACAGGUGCCAUUUGCCAAAGCCCCCAAUUCUUUUUUUGUUUAAUUAUUUUUAAACAUUGAAGUAUAGUUGAUACACAGUAUUGUGCCAUUUGCUGUUUACUGCAAAGUGACCCAGACAUUCACAUACAGACAUUUUUUUCCUUAUAUUAUCUUCCAUCUUGUUCUCUCCCAAGAGAUUGGAUAUAUUUCCUGGGGUGAUACAGUAGGACCUCACUGCUUAGCCCUUCUAAAUGCAAUAGUUUGCAUCUGCUCACCCCAAACUCUUAGCCCUAAUAAACAAAUGGAGAUGGGCAAGAAUUGUAGCUGGACCUAGAGAUGUGUGAUGGAGUGCUUUACGGGAGAGAGAGAGUUACAUUAAAAUUCACCUGCUUUAGAGAAAAAAAUCCAGUAACAAACCUACCUUCUUCUUCUUUCCGUAAACCACUGUUUAAUUUAACAUAAAAGAUGUUAAUAUACAUCUGUGUGUAAAAGCUUAGUGAGACAGUGUUACUUUAAUGACUUGAUCAGAAGAGAAGAGAAGACAUUAUAAAAAUGCCACUUGCAUUACCCUUUAACAGAGCCUCAUUAUUCCGUCCCCUACUGUGGAACAGAAGUCGGCCUAGCUCGUAAAUUGGUAGAAUUAUCUUAGACAUAUGAAUUUGCUUAUCAUUUAAUAUUCUCUGAUGACCCACUACUUGAGAUCUUUUGAUCUCUAGUCAAAUCUUUGCCUAUCACUACCUGACUUCAAAGGGAAACCCAUGCAGAAGCUAUGUGACGGCGAAUGGAAGACUUUUUUUUUU